CUUCUCCUUCUCCUUCUUCUUCUUCUCCUUCUUCUUCCUCCUCUUCUUCUUCUCCCCCGCGCGUCUCUCCCUGCGCCGAGCAGAGCGCGGCCUCCGCGUCCCCGGCUGAAUGGAGGGGGAGUUGUCCCCGUGCAUUACAAUGACAUUCGGGCCCCCAUUGAAUUCUGCCACUGUCUAACGGUCUUUGGACAGCAAAUGCACCCCCAUCGGGGGGUCGCAACCCCCUCGUUACACCCCCCCCACCCCCCCUCCCAUCCCAUCACGCAGCCCGCCACAAAAGCCCCAACAAAAGAGAGGAGAGUCGGCCCAGUUGUGCGAGUUGCGCCCCCUGGACUUUUUGAGUGCAGAGAGCCAGAAGGACCCUCCAGUAUUGUCCUGGGAGAGAAAGAGAAACACGUUGACAAAGGAAUCCAUUGUUCCUGGCGAACAAUUCAAGGGGCCUAGUAAGCUGUCCUCUACGAUCAGGCAGCCGGCCGCUGAUUUGAAUGCAAGGGGCCCCUCCAAGGAGAAAUGGAUUCGUCCCACUUGGUCCCCAGUAAAGAUAAAUUGGUCCACGUGUUUACAGGUGAGUUUCAUGGGAAUAAAACAUUGAUAUUUCCCCCGCGCAUGCUACCUGUUCUUAAUAAUAAUCUUAAUUUAUAUAUAUUCUUCUAUAACUAAAAUUGUUCCUGGGUUCCCACGGUCACGUUAGAAAAUAGGAUGAUAAAUAAUAAAGUUAAGGCGCAGCUAACACUUCUCCACAAAGUCACGGGUAGGAUGACUUUUAUUUUUAUUUUUAUAUCUAUUGUUUAAAAUUAGUUUUAAUCCACUGAUCCUUUUUUUUAUUCCAGUGUUUUCCAGUAAUUUAAUUUAAUUUAGUUUCGUUCUCAUCCCAGCUACUAACAAGCAAUAAAAGAUGAAUUAUUUUACACACACACACACACACAAACACACAAAUAAAUAUUCAUACAAACAUAUCCGCACAAAAGGAGACCAAAUGCAAAAGAGCAAAGGCGGCGAGUCAGAGCUGCAGAGGAAGAAUCCCAAAGAAGCGAAAUCCUGAAUGUCACUUGUCAUCAUAUCGCAGCGAGCAAAGCGGGCCAGCGUGUCAAGAGGCAGACUGUCACUGGUGUGUCUCUACACGCAUGACACACACACACACACUGUAAAAAACAAAAGCAUUAUUCCCCCAAAUCAUUUUGUACACACGGCUCAA
ensembl:lncRNA